rnacentral:rRNA from 1 species
AUAUUAUUAAGCGGAGGAAAAGAAACUAACAAGGAUUCCCCUAGUAAUGGCGAGUGAAGCGGGAAAAGCUCAAAUUUGAAAUCUCUGGUGGCAACACCAGCGAAUUGUAGUUUAAAGAAGCGCUUUCUGAGGUGGGAUGCCGUCUAUGUUCUUUGGAACGAGACAUCAGAGAGGGUAG